AUCCAGCUGACGAGUCCUAAAUGGGACGAAAUAUGCGUCCUGAAU
rfam:Schistosoma mansoni, Puerto Rico, WGS project CABG01000000 data, contig: 0156